AUUGAACGCUGGCGGCAUGCUUUACACAUGCAAGUCGAACGGCAGCGCGGGCUUCGGCCUGGCGGCGAGUGGCGGACGGGUGAGUAAUGCAUCGGAACGUGCCCAGUAGUGGGGGCUAGCCCGGCGAAAGCCGGCUUAAUCCCGCAUACGACAUGAGGGUGAAAGCGGGGGACCGAAAGUCCUCGCCCUAUUGGAGCGGCCGAUGUCGGAUUAGCUAGUUGGUGGGGUAAAGGCUUACCAAGGCGACGAUCCGUAGCUGGUCUGAGAGGACGACCAGCCACACUGGGACUGAGACACGGCCCAGACUCCUACGGGAGGCAGCAGUGGGGAAUUUUGGACAAUGGGCGCAACCCUGAUCCAGCCAUGCCGCGUGCGUGAAGAAGGCCUUCGGGUUGUAAACCGCUGUUGUUCGGGAAGAACUCCUCUGGGCUAAUACCCCGGGGGGAUGACGGUACCGGAAGAGUAAGCACCGGCUAACUACGUG
rnacentral:rRNA from 1 species